rnacentral:lncRNA from 1 species
AAAGUUUCUUCCACUCUUUGACCGAGUAUUGGUUGAAAGGAGCGCCGCUGAAACUGUAACCAAAGGAGGCAUUAUGGGUCCAGAAAAAUCUCAAGGAAAAGUAUUGCAGCAACAGUAGUUGCUGUUGGAUCGGAUUCUAAAGGAAAGGGUGGAGGGAUUCAACCAGUUAGCGUGAAAGUUGGAGAUAAAGUUCUUCUUCCAGAAUAUGGAGGCACCAAAGUAGUUCUAGAUGACAAGGAUUAUCUCCUAUUUAGGGAUGGUGACAUUCUUGG